AAUCAACGCUGGCGGCGUGCCUCAGACAUGCAAGUCGAACGCGAAAGGUUCCUUCGGGGACCGAGUAGAGUGGCGCACGGGUGAGUAACACGUAGGUAAUUUGCCUUUGGGUGGGGAAUAACUCAGGGAAACUUGAGCUAAUACCGCAUAAUGCAGCGGCUCGACAUCGAGACAGUUGUUAAAGCGGGGGAUUCGCAAGAACCUCGCGCCUAAAGAGAAGCCUGCGGCAGAUAGCUAGUUGGUAAGGUAAUGGCUUACCAAGGCGACGAUCUGUAACCGGCCUGAGAGGGCGGUCGGUCACACUGACACUGACAUACGGGUCAGACUCCUACGGGAGGCAGCAGUCGGGAAUUUUGGGCAAU
rnacentral:rRNA from 1 species